rnacentral:rRNA from 1 species
CGUGCUUUGCGGCACGAGUUGUAGAUUGCAGGUUGGAGUCUGUGUGGAAGGCGGUGUCCAAGUCCCUUGGAACAGGGCGCCCAGGAGGGUGAGAGCCCCGUGGGAUGCCGGCGGAAGCAGUGAGGCCCUUCUGACGAGUCGAGUUGUUUGGGAAUGCAGCUCCAAGCGGGUGGUAAAUUCCAUCUAAGGCUAAAUACUGGCGAGAGACCGAUAGCGAACAAGUACUGUGAAGGAAAGAUGAAAAGCACUUUGAAAAGAGAGUGAAACAGCACGUGAAAUUGUUGAAAGGGAAGGGUAUUGCGCCCGACAUGGGGAUUGCGCACCGCUGCCUCUCGUGGGCGGCGCUCUGGGCUUUCCCUGGGCCAGCAUCGGUUCUUGCUGCAGGAGAAGGGGUUCUGGAACGUGGCUCUUCGGAGUGUUAUAGCCAGGGCCAGAUGCUGCGUGCGGGGACCGAGGACUGCGGCCGUGUAGGUCACGGAUGCUGG